GGAGGCGUGGCAGAGUGGUCUAAUGCAGCGGAUUUGAAAUCCGUCAUACGUGCGAGCGUAUCGUGAGUUCGAAUCUCACCGCCUCCG
rfam:Burkholderia phage DC1, complete genome.